CCGACAAGAACCUCAACCCCCAGCACAUGCACUGACACUCUUUCACUCUCUUCAACUGACCAUGAAGAGCCCGAGAGCGCAGUGGAAAAUCAAACAGCAAUGGUCAGCAACAGUUUUAACAUAGACGCUGAAAAGGCAAAACAGAUGCACUGGAAAAAAAAUCUGGUGGUGAGGAAGUGCUUGAAGAAUACCAGACAACAAAAACUUUAUAGCACAGCACCAGACGUCAGCUUGUUAAUAUUGUUGUCAGUCACAUGACAGAAAUUCAUGGGAGGAUCCCCGCCCACAAACAGCGGGAAACUUAUGCUUUGGGCAUUAUUUCUCUCUUUCCUAGCCUGAAAGACCCAUUUUCAGCAAAGGGCUAUGAGCAUUUCUACGAUCCGGAAAAGGGAACGGGGUUCAUCUCCUGGCGCCUUAAAACUUUGUCGAGGAAAAAUCCAAAACGUGUUCGCUUAGAGAUGACUGAAAGUGGAGGACCAAGUUGACGAAGGAGGAUGGAUGAUGUGCAACAACUUGAAGGAGAUGCAUGCAGAGAGGCAAUUUCUUUCCUUGUCCAUCCAGCUGAUGAAACUGAAGUAAUGCAGAAGAUGAAGGAAACGUUUAAGCAUAGACAAGAACUGGUCCAUAAUCCUGACCGAUCAGCUGACGUCCUUGAUGUUUUCCCAAGAUAUUUGGUUGUAAAAGGAUUGAUAAAUCAGGACUUUGCUCUGCUGUUCAAUGCUGAAACAUCCAACAAGUUUCUUAAGAGGUGGGAGACUGCAUUCAAGCAAAAGAUCAUCAAUGAAGCCAAGUCUCUUACUUCAACAGCAGAAAUUCGGUGUCUUCUCAAUGCAGCUGGUGGACAAGGAUCUGAAAAUGAUUGGGACAGUGACAUGUCAUCUGUCCUGCUGCUGUUGCAUCUUCUGCCUCCUCCUCCAGGGAGGAAGAAGACUAAGAUCAGUCCAACAGAGGCAAUUGACAGACUUGUGCAUUUUCAUAAGUCCUGCACCAGUAUUGAAGGCCAUCUCAGUGGGAGGGAGGGCCACCAGCCAUUUCUACUGGGAUCAGGAAGGAUCAAGGGCAGGAUCGACCACUUUUACGUUGUUGUGGACAAGCGUCUUAUCCCUUGCUCUGGAACCAGCUCCUUAAGUGCCUUUGAUGAACUUUUCAAAGUUCACUAUGUCUUCAACUUGUCCGACGAGGAAGCCCUGGUCAACUUCUUUACCUUCCUGCAGACCACAGUUUACAACAUAGACGUUGGUCUUUCAAGUGAGUCUCCCAGAGUAAGGGAACUGCGUGCAAAGCUUUUAAAUUAGU